UUAUUUAGACUUUAAAAUUCUAUCUUUAUUUGUGAUUUUGAUGGACAAAAGAAAAGAAUAUAAAAUGAAAAUUUUGAAACGUCAACAAAACCCUCACCUCACAGCCCCCACCCCUUUGGACUUUUUUACAAACACAUUAUUUUAUAUAUAUAUUCUUACAAAUUAAUAAUAUAAUAUAUAAAAUUAGAAAUUUGUUUUUCUCUUCAUCAAUUUUUCUUCUUCUUCUUCUUCUUCUUCCUUCCUGGGUCUGUUCUUGCUUCUUCCUAGGUUUUGCUGAAACAAAAAAGGACAAAAUAAUAAAAAGGAGAUAAUCUCGAAAAAAAAAAAACAAACAAAAGCAUCCGUUGAUUCAGAUGGGGUACGUGGUGAUAAUUCCACUGUGGAUGUUGUUGUUCGUUGUGAUCGUGGGCCUUACUGUUUACCUAUUAGUAAGGGCCCGUAGACGAAGACAAGCAGUCCAACUUCCAGUUUAUUAUGGGCCUCCCGCUCCCCCACUUGGGGCCCAAGAUAAGCCCAACUGAUUUAUCCAAUACAACGCUCGUACUAGUAAGUUUAAGUUGUGUGUGUGAAUUUUCGAGAAUGUUUUUUCUUUGUUGGUACUAAAGUUUUAUUUUGGACUUUUAGUAUUUGUAUAGAGUUAAAUAAAUGAAUUUGACAUUGUAACUUAAUUUAGUUCA